CCCUUAGAUGUUCUGGGCCGCACGCGUAUUACAAUGGCGUUUUCACUUGGCAUUCAAUGCCUGUAAAAGGGCAUGGUAUCUCAUGAAAAAACGUCAAAUCGGGAUUGGCUUUUGGAAUUAUUGGCCUUGAACGAGGAAUUCCUUGUAAUUGUAAAUCAUCAGUUUGCGAUGAAUACGUCCCUGCCCUUUGUACACACCGCCCGUCGCUCCUACCGAUUGGGUGAUCCGGUUAAUUACAUGGAGUGGCACUGUACCAUUCAAUGGUUCAGUCGGCACGAAAUGUUGUAAACCUUAUCAUUUAGAGGAAGGAGAAGUCGUAACA
rnacentral:rRNA from 1 species